rnacentral:rRNA from 1 species
GAUGAACGCUGGCGGCGUGCCUAAUACAUGCAAGUCGAGCGAACGGACGAGAAGCUUGCUUCUCUGAUGUUAGCGGCGGACGGGUGAGUAACACGUGGAUCACCUACCUAUAAGACUGGGAUCACUUCGGGACACCGGAGCUAAUACCGGAUGAUAUUUUGAACCGCAUGGUUCAAAAGUGAAAGACGGUCUUGCUGUAACUUAUAGAUGCAUCCGCGCUGCAUUAGCUAGUUGGUAAGGUAACGGCUUACUAAGGCAACGAUGCAUAGCCGACCUGAGAGGGUGGUAGGCCACAUGGGAACUGGGACAGGGUCCAGGCUCCUACGGGAGGCAGCAGUAGGGAAUCUGCCGCAAUGGGCGAAAGCCUGGCGGAGCGACGGCGCGUGAGUGAUGAAGGUCUUCGGAGCGUAAAACUCGGUUAUUAGGGAAAAACAUAUGUGGAAGUAACUGUACACAGCGUGACGGUAACUAAUCAGAAAGCCACGGCUAACUACGUG